rnacentral:tRNA from 2 species
GGAUCAUUAGCACAAUUGGUUAGUGCAUUCGGCUCAUAACCGAAAGGCUCAGAGUUCAAGUCUCUGAUGAUCCA